UGGGGAAUCUUGGACAAUGGGGGAAACCCUGAUCCAGCCAUGCCGCGUGAGUGAUGAAGGCCUUAGGGUUGUAAAGCUCUUUCGCACGCGACGAUAAUGACGGUAGCGUGAGAAGAAGCCCCGGCUAACUUCGUGCCAGCAGCCGCGGUAAUACGAAGGGGGCUAGCGUUGCUCGGAAUCACUGGGCGUAAAGGGCGCGUAGGCGGAUCUUUAAGUCGGGGGUGAAAGCCCAGGGCUCAACCCUGGAAUUGCCUCCGAUACUGGGGAUCUAGAGACCGGAAGAGGUGAGUGGAACUGCGAGUGUAGAGGUGAAAUUCGUAGAUAUUCGCAAGAACACCAGUGGCGAAGGCGGCUCACUGGUCCGGAUCUGACGCUGAGGCGCGAAAGCGUGGGGAGCAAACAGGAUUAGAUACCCCCGUAGACC
rnacentral:rRNA from 1 species